CUUCUCGUCAGCCACAAAUUUUUUGGAUCAACCUGAUAGUUUCUUUUCGACUCAUCCACGUUUCCUUGACCUUAUCAGAAGGUUGGACGGCAUGGAUAUACAAUACAAGCAUGAACGUAGCCCCCACUGUUAGGGCCACGCCGUGUUUGGCCAGGCCACAAUCGCACCUAAUCCGCUUCUCAGACUUGGGUCGGAAGCUAGAUAGGGCCACCAUGGUGUUUGUGAAAAUUCUACGCCAUUCAUCUAUUUAUUCAGAUCAUUUUAGGGCAUGACCCCAAAAAUGAGGAGGAUGCAAUGCUUAAGUGGACCACGCAUAGCAAAUCCAUUUUAUGGUCCAAAGAUUGCCACUCGUUGAAACCUUUCUAGGGCCCAUCAGUGAUUCAAUUUGCCUCAUUUAUUGGGAUCAUGGCCUAAAAUGAGCAUACAAAACAGAUGGACGGCGUCGAUCAAUUGUAUAUGCAAAGGUGGCCCAUAGAUUCUUUUGCAUGCGCUCUCCCAAAGCAAUGGGGUAGAUUGACAAAAACGAACGACUUCAGUAGCAAAAUAGCCUCUUCUAGGCCUUAAAGCCCUUUCUCAUCUGUAUUCGUUAGUUAAAGUAAAUCGAGGUAAAAUACGCAGUUUUCUCCCUGUAUUAUCAAAAUAUAGGUGAAUUACUUUAAAUAUUUUAAAAGCAGAUGUGUUUUUGAAAAUUGACCAAAAGGGAGGUGGAUAUUUGUAAUUAAUCCAAAAAUCAAUUUGAUUAGAUGAAGCUAGGCAUCUUAUCAACCACUAGGAAAAUGGACGUCCAUAUUAAUUAUAAGAUUGAAGCCCUGAUUAAUGAUCUCAAUCACCCAUCAUGUGGGUCCACCUUUUUUACAAUCGCAUUGAUCGGACCCCCAGCAGGUGCUAGGAAAAUGAACUGUCUAGAUUAAUAAUGAUAAAGUUCUGAUCAUUGAUUGCAGUCAUCCAUCAUGUGGGGUCCACUUUGAUUGUCUCACCCUCUUAAAGGUCCUUUUGAUCAGCUGAAUAGAUUGGCUAUGGUAAAUACUCAAUAUUGAUUAUAUUAGGGAAGCUCAAGUCAUUGACCCGCUUGAAUAAUCUUUACCAAUUCAUUCAAAGGUUAGGAAAAUAGACUAUCUAUAUGGGUUUACUCGAAGAAGGUCCAAUAAUUGAUCUGCACAGUUCAUCCAUGAUGUGCACUUUGAUUAGACAAUCAUAAAUAUCUCAUCUAUCACUAAGAAAUUGGGUGGUCCAAAAUGAUUGUGCUAUAAACAUGUUGUCAUCAUCAAUUUAGACAAUCCAUCAAGUGGGACUUACCUUUGAUUGUCCAUAACUCACGAUAACCUUGAUGAGAUUAGACAACUUUAUUCAUUCGAUCAAAUUGAUAAUGGAAAAGGCGUGUAACUACAAUUUAGUCUUUCAUCAAGUGGCCAUGUAUUUGAUUGCCCAAGCCUCUCAAGAAUCACUUUGACCAGACAAUUCUAACUAUUCUAGUCAUCUAAUCAGUGGCUAAAAAAACCACAAUGGGGAGAAAAUGAUAAGAAAGGAAGAUAACUGAUCUUAGAUCAAUAAACAAGAAUACAUGGAAGACAACACUUGAGAGUGAUAUCUUCUGUUCAUUAAGGAUUAUAGAGAAUGAGUACACCAAAAGGGGCACCUAUUUACAAUUACCUUCUCAAAUAGAUGAAAAA